CGUACGCAGAGGCCUGUGAGCACUCCUGUCUCUACUGGCAGACAGCUCUUCUUUUUGUGGUGUCACUUUUCACAGAUAACGAAACCGAACAGCUACCUUUUGGACGUUCUGCGCUGAAAAAUUCGGUCGAGUCUAUUUUUCCCUGUGUGUGCCGGGGUGCCUCGUUUUCUGUUCUGUAUGGCGCUGAGCCGCCAUCGUUGUCUGUGCUUUCCGUGCAUGAGUGGCACACAAGCAUCCCCUCAGGUGCGCUCAACGCCACCCUCUCGCAUUCACACGCACUUCUCUCUUCUUCCUCUUUUUUUUGUUUUUUUUUCAUCAUCGAUUUUGGCGGGUUUUCGGUGGCCGUACCAUCGCGUUCGCUUGAGUAUCGCUCUACUUCUCGCCGUUGUGCUGGCGUGUUGAAGGCGCCGACGAGGACCACAUCUACGUCUUUUGAUGGCCUCUCCUGCUGCUGCACAUUCUCCGACACACAUCACGCUGUUUUCACUUCGUUUUUCUUUGCUGCUAUCUCGUCGUCCUUGUGUGGUGGUGUUUGUGCCUGGAUCUUGCUUCUUUCCUUCGGACGCUCUCACACUAAGUCAUUGACGCCGGCACUUUCCUGAGUGAUCCUCCCACACCUCGCCCUGACCCUGCCCUGUUCCCCCUCCCCCCUCUUGCCUGACUCGUCUCGACUUUCCCGUUGCGGCAGGGUCAGCAGAUCAACGGAGGCACAGCGUGCGAGUGCUGUCUAAGCUACAGAAAACCAGCCGACGUUCUCCCUCUGUGUUUCGCCGCAUCUACUUCUCGUUUUCUAGUGAAUGCAAGCGACCUCCGCGGCGGAUGCUGGGCCGCCGCGCGCAUCACGCAGGUACCACGUCCUAUUUUGGCCACAUGUUGUGAGUACGCCGACCUCUGACCUCAGUGGCACCGGCGAUGGCAACCGAGACGAGCCCGUUGAGCUCAGCGCUCGACUCAAACUCAAACUUGGCCAGGUGUAUCUGCACCUCACGCACCGACCCCGUGAAGCGAAUUUGCCGGAGCAUCCUGCAUCUGCGCCGGCUACUCAGGAUGGUGGCGCCAGAGCGAAACACUCAUCCUUCGCGCCAUCACAACGUUCUUCGAAGCAGAGCCGGUGGCUCCUAUUGUCGCUCCCGCCCAGUAGGAGCUCACUGCAUCGGCACCACAGCCCCGUGACAUCAGUCGACAAGAAGCACGAGCAUGCGGGAGCGCCAUCGACGUCGUCGGCCAGUUGUGCUCACCCGCACCUAAAGCAGCACUACACCAUUGCAUUGACAGAGAUCUCGCCCCUUGCCGCACAGUUGCCACUAUCGGCGGAGCUGCGCUCGAGCCUGCAUCUCAAUCGUGUAGACCGGGACGCGGCUACCUACUCGUCCCACUCCACCCCGCGUGCGCCGUUCAUGAGUCUCGCCAGCUGGGAUUUGUCAGGGGCACCGUCUGCGCUGUCGUCGAACUUCUGCUGUCCUCCCGGCUGCGACCUUUCUGUAACGUCCGCUCGCCCACGGGACAGCAACUUAUCUGCACGUCGAGCGUCCAGCAGACGUGCAAAAAGUACAACAGCCACCUACGGACAGUACCUAGAUGUGGCGGAGCCGCUGCGCUCAAGCACGCGCACCCUGCCUUCACCGCUGCUCACGGCGUCGAGCAAAGGCACGGGCUGUUGGCAAUCGAGUUCCUGCCCUGGCGAAGGCGAUGCGACGAGGGGGCACCACUCUCCGUGCACGUGCACAUCGCACGCCCCGCGCGGAAAGGGAAGUCGGCUGCUCACGCCGCUCGUCGACAAGGCACCUGCAUCUCAGACGCUUCCUAUCACGCACCUCAGCAGCUCCAGCUUUGGCAGCUUGACCCCUCCGCAAACGCACGCCGCGAGCUUACGCCUUUUCACCGCAAGCGUUAUCCUCGAGUACGAGGAGCUGCUUGGUGUCACGUUCUUCGGUGUCCCGGAGACGGCCGGCGUCGCUAACUGCUCCUCCAGCGACGACGAGGGACAUGGGCUGCUAGACAAGGCGAGUAGGAGAUUUGGCCACCGUCAGCUGCAUGGCACGUUGCUGAGCUCUAUCGUGCCACCGAAGCAGAAUGCGCGGCGGCCGCAGAGCGCGAGGGCCCCCUCGCCCCACUCCGAGGUGAUCAGCGACGAUGACCGGGGCGCAGUGACGCCGCUGCACCCGCCACACGGACACCUGCCAACCCCCUGGAAAUGCAACCAUGCAACCCGGUCACCUGUCUUCGCGCCCACUGCUCAUGUGUGCCCGCGAAAGGUGCCGGAGCUGCCCUUCAAGCUCAACCAGGCCCAGACGUGUUGCCUGCGCUUCCUAACCGAGACCGACAUGCGUGAGUUCCUGAGCUGCUACAUCGAAAUGCAGACGUACGUAAAGCAGAUGCAAGAGAAGAGCGCAGCCGCAAAGAGAUGGGCGGAGGCAGGCGGACGCGACAGUGGUGGUAGGCAGCUGGCCACCUCUCGACUGACCGAAUGUGACAAAGAGAAUUCGGUCAGUAGCGAGUAUGAGGUGUAUCUGAGAGACAGCACCACGAAUUCUCCCGGCUCCCCGUCCACCACGACCUACAAUGAGCACUCCCGCCAUUCAAAGGCCUUGGGUCCAAGGGGCAGUUCGCUCUCCACCAAUAUCGUCUUGGAUGAUCUGCUGAGGGAUAGCCAGCCAGCGGCAUCGGAGGGGAUCGAUGGUGGGCAACACGAUAACAGCAAGCGCUACACGGAGUUUAGCGCUCUAUCGACUCCAGUUCAGACUACCGUUCGUAGCCAUGGUUGGCAAGACUACCUGCGGCGGAAAGUGGACCCUCGCUACGGCAUCAGCUAUGCCACCGUACCGCUGUUUCUGUGGCACUCGUUUCUUCGGCUCGCGCCGUCGGUGCUCUACACGUGCCAGCGCGGCUUCCUCAUUGUGGAGCGUCUUCCAACACCGAGCUCGCCUGACCGCAGCGAGUAUGGCAGCCGCAACUCCCGCUGUGCGGAGCUGGAAGCAUCAAAAGAGGCUUCAAAGCAGCGCCUAAAUGACCUUGUGUGCCGGCCGCUCAGCCCAAUCGGCGCUGCGCUGGAGGUAGCGCCAUCCACGAUGCAGCCGCGACAGCGUCAGGCUUCGCCGAGUCCCGAAGGUGUCUCCGAGCGGUGCCCAACACCACUGGUCCCGGUGGCCGCUCUGAAGUCGCUGCCGUCCGCGUCUACGACCAGGUCGAGCUGCGAUGACGUGAAGCUCGUUCUCCCCUCUGUCGCCAGUGCCCCGUGCGAGCGCACGGAUGAACACAUCACCACCUUCAAGGACGUCUUUCUAUGUCUGUCAGAGUCCCACCUGCUGUUCAUGAACUCAUUUGGACACGCCUGGUUCCACUUCAGCUUCGACGAGAUCGUCCUGAUCACCCACUCCGCCGCGAUGGACUCGUUCCCGACGCACCCCUUCCUUCGAUUCCGGCUCAAGCCCAGUGAGUGCUUCGAUACACCCACAUUUGUUCUCAUGUUUAUCUUGCUUCCAGAUGUACCUCACCACGUGCAACUCGCAAGUGCUAGCGCCUCGCUGCGCCCACCAGAAGCCGAGCCAGUGGCGCAGCGUGGCUCUGCGCGAUCGACGUCGUCUCCGUCAGUGAGCGCACAGAGAGCAACAGCCUGGGCUAGUGGCCAGGCCCCGGGCGAAUCCGUCGCCGUGGCCGGCCACUGCGUGAGCCUCGUGGAGGCCGAAGAGAAGGAGCGGCUUCUGUGCCGCCACAAAGCGCUGCUCGACAUUUUCGAAACGGUCUGCCCACGGCCGGUGGAGCGGUGCACCUUCACGGAGCUGAUGUGCGGCGAGAACAGCAAGGCACACCGCGCACGCUUGAGGCAACUACUCUUACGCGCUUCGACCGGGGUGUCCGGAUUUCCUCUGGCCGACAAUUCCUCCGAUGUGUACGCGGGCGCUUCCUCGUGGAUGGCGCAGCAGCACAGCACAACUCCGAUUCUCUGUGUGAAGCUGACUGCAGGAGACAUUAGCGUUGCGGAUUCUGACGCGCGGCGAUCGGAGGGGGCGCAUCCCCCAGCCAAUCAGCCGCCACUUGCCUCAUCGAGGUCGUCCAGUGCCCGACAGGCACGGGAUUCGCGGCGGCGGUUGUCGCCGCCACACAGGGCACCGGACGGAUCUCGAACAAGCGCCUUUGCCGGCCCGACGCUUCGCUGGGGUCGCGACGAUCCCGGCAUAGUGUUAAAGGAUGCGGGGCACGACAUGGACUUUUCGUUUGAGCGGGCCACCCGCACCAUGCCGCUGUUGGCAUGCAAGGAGACGGUGUCGCAAGGCUACAGCGCGUCUUCACAGGCUUUCCAGCCGCACGGUCUCUACCCGACUCGCUGCGGUUCAGGAUCAGCUAAAGCGAAAAAGAAGAACGAGGAUGGGGGUGCCAAGGGCAGCAGCCUUGGGGGCGCAGAGGACAUGUACAUUCCAAUGGCACCCAAGAAGCGGCGCAGUAGCAUUGUGCGCUGUGUUUCCAUGAAGGAGCUGUAGCGGCGGAGUGUUUGCGCGUCGUCUGGCAGCACACAGGCACGCACGUCUGUUUCGAUCGCAGAUGAUGAAGUACGCGCCACGCUCUCUCUCUCCAGCAAGAGCUCGAAGCGCGCCCCGUUGGCGAAUGCCGCUGUGGUCCGCGAGUUUGUGUCACACCCCUUUUGUGUUCAGUUCAGAUAUGCUGUAAAAGGCGGUAAAGGGUGCAUUCUAACCCUUCCCUUCAACGUCCAACCACAUACGCACACACACACACACCGGAUGUGCUUCCGCAUUCUUUUCGUUCGCGAUGUCCAUUCAACGUGCCAAGUACUUUGCGUGCAGCUAGGGGAGGUUGAGGUGCGCUUGAUGCUCUCUUUCUGCCGUGUCUGCGCUGUGCCUGAAGCUCCUUGUCUUCCUUUGUGAAUUGUAUUCCCUCUGCGCUGGCCGCGCACGCAGCAGAGAUCAUGGUUUGCGACAUUGUGAUUCCGUCGCUUUCUCUUGGUGUGCUUGCGCUUCUUUUUAAAGUUUUUUUUUUCGUUGUGUGCCACUGCCGCUGCGCACGAAUGAUGGCGCGGUGUCUAUUCCAGGAACUAACGAGCUCCCUUCUUUCCGAGCCAGAGCGUGAUAAAGCACGCCCGUAAAGUCCUGCGUUCUGUUUUAUACGACAGUGGCGCAUUAUGCGCGCACAUGUCUUCGUCACUCGCCUUUCCCUCAAACCUAUUGCGUGCUUCUCCAUGUUUCACGGACGAUUACUCGUGCAGGUUAUUCGAUGUUUUCUAAACGUUUUUUUUUUCAGUGUGCCCAUUUCCCUGUCGCACAACUUGAGCUCAAAACUCCACUAUACCCAUCUGACCUGUCACCAAGCCCCACAGCCCCCCAUCUGCGUGGUGCGAUGGCAGCGGUAGACGCGCGCUACAGCAGAUGCGCCGACUCCGUUAUCUCAGCGAACGGUCCCUGCCUCGAGCUCAGCUCACCCGCCUCCUAACAGCCGCUCCCACUGUGCCGGCCGCCACCCCUGGUGCAUCCCCCUCCUCUGGGUGACACGCCGGCUCCGCACACCAGCACGCAGCGCGAGGGCGGGGCGUGGGGUACACUCGAGUUCCCCUGACACUUCGCGCAUCAUAUAAGUGAGAGAAACGCGUGCACGGUCGCCGGCCCCGCCGACGCCACGUCAGCCAGGACCUGAACGCCAACAUCAGCAGCGAUACAUCGCUCUGGCUCCCCUCCGCACGACGUGGGUCCGGGAAAAUCUCGUAACCAGAAGUGGCUCGGCAUGGACAGGGAUAUGGAGGUUGCUGGGCUUCUUCUAAGAGGAUGCGGGUACACGACGCCAUGGAUGCCGCGCACUGAUGUAUGCCCCUUUACGCGAGCCCCUCGAUGCGUUGAGGCAAAAACAAAUCGACAAACCUCACGUGUUGGAGGUUUGCCGCUGGAAGUCGAGUGCCGAUCAUACACGGUGCUGCUGGCAGGACCGAAGGACUCCGUACUCUGACUCUCUCUCUACUCACAUGCAGCUGUUUCUCCUUCGCUUCUUUCGCGUGUCAUCGGUGCAUUUGAGCAAUACACUCACUCCUGCACAUACACACAAG
rnacentral:misc_RNA from 1 species